UACGAAGGGGGCUAGCGUUGCUCGGAAUCACUGGGCGUAAAGGGUGCGUAGGCGGGUUUUUAAGUCAGGGGUGAAAUCCUGGAGCUCAACUCCAGAACUGCCUUUGAUACUGGCGAUCUUGAGUUCGGGAGAGGUGAGUGGAACUGCGAGUGUAGAGGUGAAAUUCGUAGAUAUUCGCAAGAACACCAGUGGCGAAGGCGGCUCACUGGCCCGGUACUGACGCUGAGGCACGAAAGCGUGGGGAGCAAACAGG
rnacentral:rRNA from 1 species